rnacentral:misc_RNA from 1 species
AUUGAUAUAAAAGUUAUUUUUGUUAUCUUUCACCAAUAUAGCAGCUGAUUCUGCUUCAGGUUUUAUUAUUUCACAUAAUUUCUUUAGAAAUGAAGGUGAUAUUUCAUUAGUGAACAUUAAUUCUUAAGGGGAAGUGCUUAGCCUUUGAUAAUUUUUUCUUCAAAGAAUGGAAACAUGGUUGAACGGUUUUUACUUUAAUCAUAUGUUAUACUCUUUAAAAAAUGACGCUGAUAUUUCAUUAGUGAAAAUUAAUGCUUAGCCUUUCAGAAUUUUGCUCAAAAGAAUGGAAACACUGAUGAGAGGAUGCUUUUGUUAUGGAAAAAUUCAUUUAAAUGUUAUGCUCCUUGAACUGGUUAUUUCUUGCUUUACUUUGCAAUGCAACAUGUGAGGCUUAAGGAAUAAGAUAAUGCUAUUUAGAUGGAGGCUGCAUGCGUUGAUUUUGUUGAUGUUAAUUGGGUCUACAUUUAUAUGAGUCCUUAUUCUGUAGAACAUUGUCCAAUUGUCCUUGGUUCACUAACUCCAUGAAGUUCUUUUAUUGGCUUUCUUGGAUAUUGAAUAUGCUUUAAUUGUUUCAUUUCCUUGCAAAUGUUUAUGUUAAGAUAUGUACCAUAAAU